rnacentral:lncRNA from 1 species
AGAAACAAUAACUAUGUUUCUAUUGGUCUGCGACUUUCUGUUGCAGUCCUAUUUGGCUGUUCGACUGUUGUCUCUUACUGUCUUACAUGUCCUUCCAUUCUUUAAUACACUUUAGCAACUAAGUACUAAAGUUCGUAUUUUCUUUUGACAGGACAUAAAUGUGGAUAGAUGAUCAGCGAAAUAUGUUCCUUGGGUAAACGUUGACAGUAACACCUUUUGCUUCAUUCUGAAUUACCAUUUAAAACACCAGAACUACUCAUCUUAAACCAUAUUUAUUGCUAUCAAAUUCAAUAGCUAAUUUAUACCUUUGAUUUCAAAUUUAACUAAAAAAUUUAUUUACAAGGCCGUGAGAAACGGUAUAUGUUAUCUCCACGGUUCAUUUAAUUCUAUUUAUUUUUCUUAAUUUCUUUCAUAAUUAUAAAAUUGUCAGGUUGGUAUGGUAUUAUUACAAUUUACAAGUCACAACAAAAGGUUAAAAGCUUGCCCCUUUCUCACGCCGGUGAAUAUAUUGCUAGUAAGAUAGUAGUUGUUUCAUCUCCACCGGCGAGCUCUGGAGGUUAGCGUCCUUUCUCUCUCUCCCUCUUUAUCUAAUUUUCUUGCUCUGCUCCUAUGAAUAUUAGUCUAUUUAGUCGCUAAUUAAGCUUCUGGUACUCUUUUGUCAAUAUAUUCAUUGUCAAUGCUUUUCUUUAUUCCGUCUAUAUUUUCUCUCCCUCUAUUUUCCUUUUUGUUUACUGAGAAAGUGGAAGAAAAGAAUAAGAGUAAGUCUAGGUAGUUGUUAUUCUCAUGGGUUCUGGAUAAGAUUUGAAGAAUAUUCUCAGUAGGUGAAAAAUUGAAAUUAAAUGCACAUAAUUUUAGUUCUCUUCUUUUUGCAUUAGGAGCCCAUUAGUGUGAAUUCUGCAACUUCUUAAUAGACAAACAAAUGUUUAUCAUAAUCGUUGAUUGUUCCAAAAUUCGAAAUUUGCUCGUCACUGGUAUUUUCUCUACUAAAUGAGGGUUUUAGGGUGUAGGGUGUAGGAUUUAAGUUCCAAUCUUGAGUCUUUCAGGCAGGUCAGUUCGAACAAUUUUCUGUAUAGUAAUUUAUGUAAUUUUAUGCUAGACUAUAUUUUGUAUUCUUUUCAUUUUUCAGUUCAUGGAUUCUGAGAUUGUGUAACUCAAUAUUGGCCUAAAGCUCAUGUCAUAUUAUUAGCUUGAUUUUAUUAAAUUUCUGAAUCUUCAUUGACAGUUUUUUUGUAAAACAAAGUUACAUUGCAGUCACCUUUGACUUGAUUUAAGUUCAGGAACAGGUUCGUCCUACUCCUAUAAGUUAAGAAAAUUAGAAUAGAUACCUAAACAUCAGAACAAGUCUUUGUUGGUUGAGUUGCAUAACUAAUCUUAAGUCAAUAUUAUGUUGCGCAUUAGAAAAGAAACAAUAACUAUGUUUCUAUUGGUCUGCGACUUUCUGUUGCAGUCCUAUUUGGCUGUUCGACUGUUGUCUCUUACUGUCUUACAUGUCCUUCCAUUCUUUAAUACACUUUAGCAACUAAGUACUAAAGUUCGUAUUUUCUUUUGACAGGACAUAAAUGUGGAUAGAUGAUCAGCGAAAUAUGUUCCUUGGGUAAACGUUGACAGUAACACCUUUUGCUUCAUUCUGAAUUACCAUUUAAAACACCAGAACUACUCAUCUUAAACCAUAAAUAGUUCCAUCAGGAAAUGCAUAUAGUUUCUUCCAUGAAUCCCAUGUUAUUGGCUUCGCCUCCCAACCUUCAGUUGCCUUCCUGUCAUUC